UACGAAGGGGGCUAGCGUUGUUCGGAUUUACUGGGCGUAAAGCGUGCGCAGGCGGUUUUGUAAGCCAGAUGUGAAAUCCCCGGGCUUAACCUGGGAAUGGCAUUUGGGACUGCAAGGCUUGAGUGCGGCAGAGGAGACUGGAAUUCCCGGUGUAGUGGUGGAAUGCGUAGAUAUCAGGAGGAACACCGAUUGCGAAGGCAGCUCGCUGGGACGUUACUGACGCUGAGACGCGAAAGCGUGGGGAGCGAACAGG
rnacentral:rRNA from 1 species